UACGUAGGUGGCAAGCGUUAUCCGGAUUUACUGGGUGUAAAGGGCGUGUAGGCGGGGACGCAAGUCAGAUGUGAGAACCACGGGCUCAACCUGUGGCCUGCAUUUGAAACUGUGUUUCUUGAGUACUGGAGAGGCAGACGGAAUUCCUAGUGUAGCGGUGAAAUGCGUAGAUAUUAGGAGGAACACCAGUGGCGAAGGCGGUCUGCUGGACAGCAACUGACGCUGAGGCGCGAAAGCGUGGGGAGCAAACAGG
rnacentral:rRNA from 1 species